rnacentral:rRNA from 1 species
CCUACGGGUGGCAGCAGUGGGGAAUCUUCGUCAAUGGGCGAAAGCCUGACGGAGCAACGCCGCGUGAUCGAUUGAUGCCCUUCGGGUUGUAAAGUUCUUUUGUCAGGGACUAAUAAGCAAUGCGAAUAGUUUUUUGUAUGACGGUACCUGUUUAGAAACCUCCGGCUAACUACGUGCCAGCAGCCGCGGUAAGACGUAGGGAGCAAUCGUUGUCCGGAUUUACUGGGCUUAAAGGGAGCGUAGGUGGGCUCUUAAGUCAGGUGUGAAAACUCCGGGCUCAACCUGGAGACUGCAAUUGAAACUGGGUGUCUUGAGGGCAGGAGAGGAAAGUGGAAUUCCUGGUGUAGCGGUGAAAUGCUUAGAUAUCACGAAGAACUCCGAUUGCGAAGGCAGCCUACUAAACUGCCACUGACAUUGAUGCUCGAAAGUGUGGGUAUCAAACAGGAUUAGAUACCCCAGUAGUC